rnacentral:rRNA from 1 species
UACAGAGGAGCCAAGCGUUGUCCGGAUUGACUGGGCGUAAAGCGCACGCAGGCGGAUGCGCGCGUGGGGUGUGAAAUCUGGCCGCUUAACGGCCAGGCGCCAUCCCAUACGGCGCGUCUGGAGUGAUGCAGAGGUCGAUGGAAUUGCCGGUGUAGUGGUGAAAUGCGUAGAGAUCGGCAGGAACACCCAGGGGGAAACCAGUCGACUGGGCAUCUACUGACGCUGAGGUGCGAGAGCGUGGGGAGCGGAACAGG